rnacentral:tRNA from 1 species
CGCGAGAUAGAGCAGUGGUAGCUCGUCGGGCUCAUAACCCGAAGGUCGAAGGUUCAAGUCCUUCUCUCGCAACCA